rfam:Methanococcoides burtonii DSM 6242, complete genome.
UAGAUUGGUGUUGGUGACCCAAUGGGUAUGCCAAUCUCACACAUCAUGGCUUCCGGUAUGACCGGUAUGAGAGCAGCUGGUGACCUUGUUGCAAGGAUGC